rnacentral:rRNA from 1 species
CCUACGGGGGGCAGCAGUGGGGAAUAUUGGACAAUGGGGGCAACCCUGAUCCAGCCAUGCCGCGUGUGUGAAGAAGACCCUCGGGUUGUAAAGCACUUUCAGUGAGGAAGAACGCCUGGUGGUUAAUACCCAUCAGGAAAGACAUCACUCACAGAAGAAGCACCGGCUAACUCCGUGCCAGCAGCCGCGGUAAUACGGAGGGUGCGAGCGUUAAUCGGAAUUACUGGGCGUAAAGCGCGCGUAGGUGGCUUGAUAAGCCGGUUGUGAAAGCCCCGGGCUCAACCUGGGAACGGCAUCCGGAACUGUCAAGCUAGAGUGCAGGAGAGGAAGGUAGAAUUCCCGGUGUAGCGGUGAAAUGCGUAGAGAUCGGGAGGAAUACCAGUGGCGAAGGCGGCCUUCUGGACUGACACUGACACUGAGGUGCGAAAGCGUGGGUAGCAAACAGGAUUAGAUACCCGGGUAGUC